AGAUUGAACGCUGGCGGCGUGCCUAACACAUGCAAGUCGAGCGGUAACAGGUGUAGCAAUACAUGCUGACGAGCGGCGAACGGGUGAGUAAUGCUUUGGAAUCUUCCCAGUAGUGGGGAAUAACCAGUCGAAAGAUUGGCUAAUACCGCAUACGUCUGUAAAGGGAAAGCGGGGGCUCGUAAGACCUCGCGCUAUUGGAUGAGCCAAAGUCGGAUUAGCUAGUUGGUGGGGUAAUGGCCUACCAAGGCGACAAUCCGUAGCUGGUCUGAGAGGACGACCAGCCACACCGGAACUGAGACACGGUCCGGACUCCUACGGGAGGCAGCAGUGGGGAAUAUUGGACAAUGGGGGAAACCCUGAUCCAGCGACGCCGCGUGUGUGAGAAGGCCUGCGGGUUGUAAAGCACUUUUAGUGGGGACAAAAGCUACGGAUUAAUACUCUGUGGUCUUGAUUUAACCCAAAGAAAAGCACCGGCUAACUCUGUGCCAGCAGCCGC
rnacentral:rRNA from 1 species